UUCACCUGGACACUGUCAUUUCUGCAUGUGACGUCUGGAACCUAUGUAUUCAUCUUGGGACUUAAAAGAAUUAAGGAGAGGACAGAGCUGAUCUAUUAACAUGCCAUGGCUGGUCCACUGGUCCAAAGAGGAUAAAAUAGACAUGGAGCAGAACUGGAUCCAACCUGCUGCUUAGAGACACCCAAUUGAGUCCAACCUAGAUCAGUUUCUCUUGGAAACUGGAUCUGACUCCCAUAAAGAAGCCCAUGCUAACCUGCUAAAGAAUAAGACCAUACGGAAGAAAGAUGAGUUGUUUAACUGGGGCCAUUCUGGACUAUCCAGCCUACAGCAAACCCGCCAGCUGACUGUAGAUGCGGGAGCAAACCCAGCCAAGAUCAGCCAAGAUCAGCCAAUCCCAGCAAAGACAAGAAGAACAUCCUAGGUGGCCAAUAAACUUUUGAUCAAAAUAAAUCCUUUAUGUUCUACACCACAGAAGUUUUGUGGCUGUUUUUUAUGCAGCAUUUUUGUGCAAUAGAUA
rnacentral:lncRNA from 1 species